rnacentral:lncRNA from 1 species
UGCCACUGCUCGCGCGUUCGUCGUCGUCUUUUACCACAGCUGCCUCGUUGCCCAGCUUCCCCCACUG